rnacentral:rRNA from 1 species
CUACGUGUCGCUCCAGUGGGGAAUCUUGCGCAAUGGGGGAAACCCUGACGCAGCGACGCCGCGUGGAGGAUGAAGGUCUUCGGGUUGUAAACUCCUUUUCUUGGGGAAAAUAGUGAUGGUACCCAAGGAAUAAGCCACGGCUAACUCUGUGCCAGCAGCCGCGGUAAGACAGAGGUGGCGAGGCGUUGUUCGGAAUUACUGGGCUUAAAGGACGAGUAGGCGGUGGAGCAAGUCUGUUGUGGAAUCCUGCGGCUUAACCGCAGAACUGCGAUAGAAACUGUUUCACUUGAGUCAGUGAGGGGAGGGCGGAAUUCCUGGUGUAGCGGUGAAAUGCGUAGAUAUGUGGAGGAACACCAAUGGCGAAGGCAGCUCUCUGGCCUGAUACUGACGCUGAGGUGCGAAAGCGUGGGGAGCAAACAGGAUUAGAUACCCGCGUAGUC